UGGGGAAUAUUGGACAAUGGGCGAAAGCCUGAUCCAGCCAUGCCGAGUGUGUGAAGAAGGUCUUCGGAUUGUAAAGCACUUUAAGUUGGGAGGAAGGGCAGUAAGCGAAUACCUUGCUGUUUUGACGUUACCGACAGAAUAAGCACCGGCUAACUCUGUGCCAGCAGCCGCGGUAAUACAGAGGGUGCAAGCGUUAAUCGGAAUUACUGGGCGUAAAGCGCGCGUAGGUGGUUCGUUAAGUUGAAUGUGAAAGCCCCGGGCUCAACCUGGGAACUGCAUCCAAAACUGGCGAGCUAGAGUAGGGCAGAGGGUGGUGGAAUUUCCUGUGUAGCGGUGAAAUGCGUAGAUAUAGGAAGGAACACCAGUGGCGAAGGCGACCACCUGGGCUCAUACUGACACUGAGGUGCGAAAGCGUGGGGAGCAAACAGG
rnacentral:rRNA from 1 species